rnacentral:rRNA from 1 species
CCUACGGGGGGCUGCAGUGGGGAAUAUUGGACAAUGGGGGGAACCCUGAUCCAGCCAUGCCGCGUGUGUGAAGAAGGCCCUCGGGUUGUAAAGCACUUUCAGUGAGGAAGAACGCCUGGUGGUUAAUACCCAUCAGGAAAGACAUCACUCACAGAAGAAGCACCGGCUAACUCCGUGCCAGCAGCCGCGGUAAUACGGAGGGUGCGAGCGUUAAUCGGGAUUACUGGGCGUAAAGCGCGCGUAGGUGGCUUGAUAAGCCGGUUGUGAAAGCCCCGGGCUCAACCUGGGAACGGCAUCCGGAACUAUCAAGCUAGAGUGCAGGAGAGGAAGGUAGAAUUCCCGGUGUAGCGGUGAAAUGCGUAGAGAUCGGGAGGAAUACCAGUGGCGAAGGCGGCCUUCUGGACUGACACUGACACUGAGGUGCGAAAGCGUGGGUAGCAAACAGGAUUAGAUACCCUGGUAGUC